UGAUGGACAAAAAGUUGAAUUAUGUCCUGACUCUCCACACCGAAGACACUUCUUUCCCCUGUUUACACUGUAUGGGUUGUCUUGUUUUUGUUGACUAACCUCCUUCCCUUGCAUUCAACCUUACUAAGAAAAUAGUAAUCUUGGGUCCCACUGGGCGUGCCAAAAGAUGUUGCCUCUGAAAAUCACCUCGGCCUAUACAGCCGAGGGAUCAAGGAACAAAUGUCCUUCUUGAUGAAUAGAUGCGGAGCGUGCCAGCACACGGCCAGAAGGCCAAGUGUGCAACUGUAGGAAGGAACUUAUUCUCGGCUGCGGUUCGAUGCCUCUAGAUUAAGGACUUGAUGGCUGAAGGUUGGGUGAGUUAGGUGUGGUUGUGAGAGUAUGAGUAAAUAUAAGAUUAAUAGCUACUAUGAAUAACAAGAUUAAACAAGUAAAGCAUAAAGACAAUAAGGAGCAAAUAAAAGAUAAUAGCAACGAAACUGAAAACUAGAAUGGCUGCAAAUUAUUAACUGUUGUUUGAAAGAAAACAAAGAGAACAAUUCAAAAUCGAUACUAGGCUACAAGAAAGAUAAAGUAACUGAGAUUGUAACUAGCAGAGCAAAUAAACUAAAGUAACAGACGGAAAUUCUACCUAAGCAAAAGGUAAAACGAAAUAAGAAAAGCUUGAUGGCUUGAGUUUCUGGAGUUGUGUGUGUGUUGUCUUCUGUCGAUGCUUCUAUUUAUAUCGGCUGCUUUGUGACUCGAACUGAUCUCUUGACUCUUUGAAGUUGAGUGAAAUUCGGCCUCCUCUUGGCUCAGUGACUCUAUCUUGAUUUGGCUUCAAUACUUAUCGUCGGCUGACUUGACGCUGGACUCUAUCCGGAUUGGCUUUGAUGGACGUCAUCAACGGCUGCAAUUAAUCUUGAAGUCGGCUAUCUUGGAUUGAACUCUCCUCAUCGGCUGACAUCAACUUCAAGUCGAUUGAAAUACUACUUGAUUGAAUUUCGUCUUUAUCGCUUAU
rnacentral:lncRNA from 1 species